rnacentral:rRNA from 1 species
AUGAAAUCAGUAAAGGAACAGAGCGCCAGACCGGCAUGCAGAUGGACAAAGCCUGAUGGGGAUCAAUUGAAAAUCAAUGUUGAUGGGGCGUUCCAUAGUACUGCAGGGUCCGGAGGAUGGGGAUUUGUAAUCCGCGAUAACACUGGAGAUGCAGUCGGGGCGGGGGCAGGAAAGAUUAAACAUGCAGUCAGUGCUAUUCAUACUGAAGCGGAGGCUUGCCUUCAGGCGCUGUCAGCGGCUGCAGUAUGGGGGAUCUCCAACAUAGUGCUGGAAUCGGAUUGCCAAACCCUUCUGCAUGCGGUACAGAGUUCCGAGUAUGAUCGGGCCCCGGAAGGUGUUCUUUUCAGAGAUAUCCACCAGUUUAUCCGGCUUAAUUUCAGCACAUUUGCUUUCUCAUUUGUUUCUCGAGACUGUAAUAAAGUCGCCCACGCCCUUGCUGCGUUGGGUAGCAAUGGCCAAGAGCCCCAACGGCUGUGGUUGGAGGCAGUGCCGGAUGAUGUAAGUGUGCUGGUGGCCAGCCAUCGAGCUGUGCCUGUUUGA